rnacentral:rRNA from 1 species
ACGGGAGGCAGCAGUGGGGAAUAUUGGGCAAUGGGCGCAAGCCUGACCCAGCAAUGCCGCGUGAAGGAAGAAGGCUUUCGGGUUGUAAACUUCUUUUAAGUGGGACGAUAAUGACGGUACCACUUGAAUAAGCUCCGGCUAACUACGUGCCAGCAGCCGCGGUAAUACGUAGGGAGCAAGCGUUAUCCGGAUUUAUUGGGUGUAAAGGGUGCGUAGACGGAGAAGCAAGUUAGUUGUGAAAUCCCUCGGCUUAACUGAGGAACUGCAACUAAAACUACUUCCCUUGAGUGUCGGAGAGGAAAGUGGAAUUCCUAGUGUAGCGGUGAAAUGCGUAGAUAUUAGGAGGAACACCAGUGGCGAAGGCGACUUUCUGGACGAUUACUGACGUUGAGGCACGAAAGUGUGGGGAGCAAACAGGAUUAGAUACCCUGGUA